AUCCUGAUGGCAGCACAUAGACUAAAACUGGAAUGAUACAGAGAAGAUUAGCAUGGCUCCUGUGCAAGGAUGACACGCAGCAAGUUGCUGUAGAGACUCAU
ensembl:snRNA U6 U6 spliceosomal RNA